GGAAGGAUGGUCUUGUGAUUAAGGCACUAGAUUGGAAUUCAGAAGAUCUGGAUUUAAUUCUGGUUCUUCCU
rnacentral:tRNA from 1 species